AAGUACAUAUUUAGAUAUAUAUAUAUAUUUUUUUUUGAGAAAAAAGUAACAUGCUAUCCGUUUCAUUCAUUGAAAAGAUAAAUUAUGCUACAGUGGUGAGACAACCAGGACCUCUAAGAGGGUAAAAAAAAAAAGAAGAUGAAUUAGAUUACAGGGUGAAAAAAAAAAGAUGAAUUAGGCUACAGGGUGGAAAAAAAAAAACUACAGCUCACCGAAGUGUCGAUUAGCCGAAAGUAGUUGUUCCAAAAUAUUCGACAGCUGUUUAACCUUGCGAACUGCUAUCAGGGGGUCCAGCUGGAUUAUUCUAAAGAUUGUAUCGUUUUUGUUCUUCCAUAUGACCCACCAAUAGACUGCUAGUUCCGGAAGCCUGUAUCAUAUUUUAGAGAUUAUUAUGUAAUCUCUAAAAUAUAUAGGAGUAUGAUGAAGGCAAAUGUAUCAUAUUUUAGAGAUUAUU
rnacentral:lncRNA from 1 species